rnacentral:lncRNA from 1 species
UAAAUUAAAACAUUCCCCGGAAAUACGUUCUGUAGGCUUUUUAGGCUUCCUAAUGAAUGACUUGCAGUCUUUUGCAAUGUUAGAUACUUUGUGGGACUGUCCCACACUGACAGAACUGAACCUGAUGCAAAUCUUCAAAAUUCUCACAAAUCAUUGACAAAGCCAACUACUGACUUCCUACAGUAUCAACAGUGAAACACAAACCAGAGGUCACAAGUGGAAACCAUGUGGAAUUGUUAUUAAAUCCGAGACCAAGAGGCACAUCAUUAUGCUAAGAUUUGAGAUUCUGGGACCAAUAAGCUUCUAACUACCAAACAGGCUAGGUGGGCCGAACAGCCUUUCACUUGAAACCUUCCUUAGGUUAGCUAGUGCACAACCAAAUUGUUCCUUUUAAGACUUCAUGGUUCAGUUCAAUUCUGUUCAUAUGAUACUACACAAAACUUUACAAUGGCAAGGAUUAACGACACCCAUGGCAUGGAACUCCAUGAUGUUUCAUGGUGCAGAGCUACAGAAACUGGCUGCAAUGCUGACGCAGCAGCCGUUUCAGGAUGAUUCCGACAAGCAUCAGUCUCUGUUUGGUACCGAUGUGACACCCAUGGCGCUGGCCACAUUGGGAUUCAAACACAUGAGCUUCAGAACCCGACUUCCCAGACAGUGGAGAAUUCGUCUGCGCCAAAAAGCUGGGCCUCAUGCCUUUACAGAACUUAGUGAAGUCACCGUCUGUGACAAGUUUAGCCGCACCAUUACACAGGCAGGGUGUAGAAUUUGUGCCAAAGUGUGA